rnacentral:rRNA from 1 species
CCUACGGGGGGCUGCAGUGAGGAAUAUUGGUCAAUGGCCGGAAGGCUGAACCAGCCAAGCCGCGUGAAGGACGAAGGUGCCAAGCGUUGUAAACUUCUUUUGUCAAGGGACAAAAUCAGGCUCGAGAGCCUGACCGAGGGUACUUGAUGAAAAAGCAUCGGCUAACUCCGUGCCAGCAGCCGCGGUAAUACGGAGGAUGCGAGCGUUAUCCGGAUUUAUUGGGUUUAAGGGGAGCGUAGAGGGGCUGUUAAGUCAGUGGUAAAAGUUCGGGGCUCAACCCAGGCGAGCCGUUGAAACUGGCUGUCUUGAGAUGUCGAGAGGUAUGCGGAAUGCGCAGUGUAGCGGUGAAAUGCUUAGAUAUUGCGCAGAACUCCGAUUGCGAAGGCAGCAUACCGGCGGCGAUCUGACGCUGAGGCACGAAAGCGUGGGUAUCGAACAGGAUUAGAUACCCGUGUAGUC